CACAGUUAGUAACGAGAGAGGGAGUUAUAUUUCAUGUAGGCUACGCCGUCUAGGCUUUGCCUUAUGGGCUUGUCCCGUACGCGCGCUUGCUUGCCCUGAAAAUUCCGUAGGCCUCCCUGUCAACCGACAAGGAGACCAUGGCAGAGGAGAGCAGGGCGAUGUUGUUGACCGCCGCCGCGGAUUGAGAGGCACAAACGAACACCCUUGAUGGGCAAAUUAAGCUUUUAUGAAGCAUCGAACCAGUUGAGCCAAAUGUUUCGAAAAUGGGUUCAUUACUCGAAGCUUCAGUGACAGUGACCUCUGCUGGCGAAGUUCGAGGCUGCAGUGGAUUCAACGUAUCCCUGCUUUGAAAACGAUUUGACGCACAAACACACAAACCCAAAUACUUAAUAGCAUGAUCUUUUCACGAAUAAAGAUUGAUCUAAAUACAGAUGUCUAAAUUGUUCUUAAAGGGAUAUGCCUAGCCUUCUGUCCAGAUAGGCUAACUGAUGUAGGCUAGGAUAUAAUUGAAACAGCAUGUAAAAACUUUCCACCCAGGAACGGGAUUCGAACCCGGGUCCUCCACUCCACAGUCAGUGUGUUAUCCCCUAGUCUAUGGAGUCAGUUUCCUGCCAUAAUUCAAACCUGAAAAAAAAAGUUUCAAAGGCUUGUAAGUCUGGGUUUGAAAACUCAACACCUUGUAAAAAAGGUUUUGCAACACUGAAAAAAGAGAUUAUAACCUGAAAAAAAAUAAAACUAAAAUUCAAACAUCUGUAAA